UUGUCCUGCAAAAAGCGAAUUUUAGUGUACUUUGCUUCACAAAAAUUGAAUUCUCAAUGGCUCCUUUUGACAACAGUCACGAACAGCAGCAAUUUCUUGAGGCAAUGUUUUUUGUCCUGUGUUAUUAGAGUUAGCUGUAUCAUCUGGCUGUUCAGUACUGCACAGAGACUCCACAAUCGGGACAUCAUCGGUGCAGGCGCGAACAUCUUCAGUGCCAGUGUUGCAGCAUACAGUUGACCAUGGAGCUAUUGACGCACCCCACGCCCAACAUGAAGUCACUUCGAACCCAAGUCACUUCGUACCAAAGUCACAACCGUUCCCUGGGCUAAUACUGCGCAAAUCGUUCAGUACCUGAAGAGUUUUUAAAGGAAGUGGACACUAAUGGUUCCCUGGGCUAAUACUGCGCAAAUCGUUCAGUACCUGAAGAGUUUUUAAAGGAAGUGGACACUAAUGUGGAAAUACAUAAUGGCACUGUCUUUCAGGAGUUGGCUGCUGCCUACACAGAUGAUGAAAGCCUAACAACUUGGAACAUGUCUAGAAAUUCACUGCAGGCUAUCCAUGUAAAGGUUGUGAUAUCUAGGAACUCAAUGCUUCACUACGAACACUGUAGGUCAACAACUAUUGUCUUCAAAGGGUUAUCCUUGUGACAGAACAGUUACUGCUCCACUCCAACCAUGGCAAGUCACCCAUUUGUAUACUCACUGCUUCACUUCAACUAUUAUCUUCAAUGGGCUGGUUGUUCUUUGACAGAGUUUGCUGCUGCCUGCACAGAUGAUGAAAGUCUAACAACUUGGAACAUGUCUAAAAACUCACUGCAGGCUAUCCAUGUGACUGUAAAGGUUGUGCUAUCUAGAAACUCAACGCUUCACUUUAACCACUGUAGUUCAUCCAUGUGACAGGGACCAUUAUCUUCAAUUGGCAAGUCUUAAAGUUUUUAUCCAAUGUCUACUAAAUUUGAACUUUACUUCGCCUCAUCAAACGAAACUUGUCCUGUUUACUGGGGUUAGAUAUCUCUAGUUUUUUUACCUUAUCAAGUCCUGGGACACUGGUAACUAAACAAAUGUUUUUGUAACCUUUAAAUUGUUCCCAGGCUGACUUUGUGUCAUUCAUGCAGUAUUACCAAAGUUAGUGCCAUUCUUUUAGAAAGAUUGCAAAUCUAAUAACAGUUCAAGAUCCAUUUGUUUCAAGUUUAAUAAAUUGUUCUUUCUUGGGAUCCUUCUCUUUUAAUUAUAUUUUUUGUUCAAUUUGUCAAUAUAAUCAAUGGCCGAUCAGGGGGGCUUGCCUCCCCCUAACAACUCUGAAAACCAAGGUUUUUUGUUAAGUUAGGAUUGUUACAUUUUAUAUUUGAAAUUGGCGCCAGAUUGAGAGGUUAACAAACCUAAUAAUCAGACAACCCUAGAUGUAAAAAGCUGAAGCUGCCCAGUCCCCUGAAACUUCUUAACCUUGUGAUUUCAAUCCUUAAAUAGUUUUCCAGAGCAAAUGUGCCAUUUCUUAAUUUCAACAACAUGUUGGUACAGUUUAGUCAACUGUCUUUAAAAAAACAAACCAAUCUUGUGAUUUUGAAUAAUGUGUUUGAUACUUUCAUGUAUUCUGUCUCUGUUGCCAUGCUGGUUGUUUCUUUGACAGAGUUGGCUGCUGCCUGCACAGAUGAUGAAAGUUGAACACCUUGGAAAAUGUAUAGGAAUUCACUGCAGGCUACCCAAGUUGCUAUAAAGGUUGUGAUAUAGAAACUUCCUGCUUAACUCCAAACACUGUAGUUCAUUCAUGUGACAGCAACUAUUAUCUGCAAUGGGCUGGUUGUUCUUUGACAGAGUUAGCUGCUGCCUGCACCGAUGAUGAAAGUCUAACAACUUGGAACAUGUCUAAAAAUCCACUGCAUGCUAUCCACGUGACUGUAGCUUAAAGGUUGUUCUAUCUAGAAACUCGAUGCUUCAUUCCAACCACUGUAGUUCACUGUGAGGCAAAUAUUAUCUUCAAUGGGCUAUCCAUGUGACUGUACAGGCUGUGCUAUCUAGAAACUCAAUG